rnacentral:rRNA from 1 species
UGUGCAGGCGGAAUGAUAAGUCAGUGGUGAAAGCCUACAGCUUAACUGUAGAAAUGCCAUUGAUACUGUCGUUCUUGAGUACAGUUGAAGUGGGCGGAAUGUGUCAUGUAGCGGUGAAAUGCAUAGAUAUGACACAGAACACCGAUAGCGAAGGCAGCUCACUAAGCUGAAACUGACGCUCAGGCACGAAAGCGUGGGGAGCAAACAGGAUUAGAUACCCUGGUAGUCC